rnacentral:rRNA from 1 species
UACGUAGGGUCCAAGCGUUGUCCGGAAUUACUGGGCGUAAAGAGCUCGUAGGUGGUUUGUCGCGUUGUUCGUGAAAACUCACAGCUCAACUGUGGGCGUGCGGGCGAUACGGGCAGACUAGAGUACUGCAGGGGAGACUGGAAUUCCUGGUGUAGCGGUGGAAUGCGCAGAUAUCAGGAGGAACACCGGUGGCGAAGGCGGGUCUCUGGGCAGUAACUGACGCUGAGGAGCGAAAGCGUGGGGAGCGAACAGG